AUGAGUUUAUCUAUACACGAGGAUAGAAAUAAAAGCGUCAAAUUUAUUAUUCUUGGAAAAAGGUGUUUGUACUUGCGAAAAGAUUUGUGGAUUACUAUUUGAGGUACUUCGGAGCCAUUAUGAGCAAAAGAAGGAGUAAACGUCUAUUUGGAGCGUAAAGGGAACAAAGAUCAAUUCACAAGCGGGUGAUACUUGGAGUCGGAUAAGAAUACGCGCAGUAAGGAAGUGAUUAGGCUGUCGGUUUUCUGAAACUGCCAAGCCAUACAUGAGCUAGGUGGCCCUUAUCUAAGUUCUGGGUGCCUGUAGUGAUUUUUAUCAUUACCAAACCCUGAGAGUGGGAGAAACUAAUCUUCUCAAUCAAUCUCCCCUAAAUUUCAGAGGAGGAUGGCUGUGCAACUGCAAUUAUUGUCCGAAAAUGAGAGAAGAAGGAUUGGAGUGCGAAUCAGCUAGAUUUGAGAUCGAUGGAGACAAGGGUUGUUGUUGAAACCGAAGAGUUGUGUUAACUUAGGUUCGAAUUCCAUCUGUGGUGGUUUGAAUUAGGGUUUAGAAAAGAGAGAUGAAGCUGUGGCUAUGGAGAUUCGAAUCAAGAAGAGAGAUCGAGAAGAUGGGUCUGUGGUGGAUGAAUCAGAGGAGGUUUGAACAACAGAUUUGAUAAAUGAUGGGUUUGAUUGAGACCAUAUUGAAAAUGAGGUACUGUUGCUGAGAGUUCGAAUCGAAAUGAACCAGGUAGAGAGGAUAUGUUGCUGUCAAGAAUUAGAAAGUGGAAUAUAGGAUUUGUGGUUGAGAGAAGGAAGAGCUGCAGUUGGAUGGAUAAUUGAGGGUUUGAUUGUGCUGAGUUCAGAAAUAAUUGGUUUGUUUGAGCUGUGUUGAAUAAACUGCAGGUGGAUUUGAUAACAUGGAGAUGGAGAUGAUGGUGGUAACUUGGUGCAUCAGCUGAGUGAUUUGGUAGAUGAAUGUUAGGUGCAGGUGAUGAGGUUGGAGCUGAGACGGAAUCAAUGCAGUGGACUCGAGAAGAUUGCAGUUGAAAUCAGGAAAUACAAGAAAAUGGUGAACUGAAGCUGGAAGAGAAGUUGGCAGUGAUGCAAAGAUGGUGGUUGUAGUACUAUGGGUUAGUCCUAAGCAAAGAGUUGAAGCGGGUACAAUCUGAGCAGUGGUUGGUGGUAUAUGAAUUACAGAGCUUGAGAAUUACAAUGUUGCGGUGCUGAGUUAUGCUGCUAAUUGAAUUGGUAAUGAUGCUGCAGUUCAUAUUUCCCAUGGCUAGUUAAAAUGGUGUUGAUAUUCAUGGGUCUGGUGGCAUUGGAACUCAGAGAGAAGAUUAUGAAGUUGCUGAUGUUGAAGUGACAUGGAGUUAUAGGCCGGCGCAGAUACAGUUAGGGACGGUAGUGUGGAGAAUCGCAAAGUGGUGUGCUAAUAAUUUUGGAGGAAUGAUGUGGAAUUGUGGCUAGUAAUGACUCUGUGAUGCACAAGGGUUGAUUGCAGGAAUGUAUGGCUUGACAGAGUGAUCGCAGGUAGUGAAUUACAGUCAAACUGGCUCAGGUGAUGCUGUUGUUCCGUGUUGAAUGUAUGAGCAGUUGGUGGCGGUAUUAAGCUUGGUGAUGAACUGGAGCUAGUUGCAAGUAAUACAGAUGCAAUGCUUGUGUUGUGGAGUUGUUUCUGCAAGAGAAGAAUUGACAGAGGCAAUUGGAUGAAUGGAGUUUUGCUUGCGAGUUUUGCCAUGAAUGAUAUAACAAGACCUGGUACUGUGCAGCAUUAGUUGAAGCUGCAGCUUGGCUAUGUUGCAGGAGUGCAGGUUGUGCUGAGUAAGUGCAGCUUCAGAUGGAGAUUAGCUCAAGUGUGUUGCUGUAUAUUGUUGCCUGAACUGAAUUGCAGGUGGAGCUGUGUAGCAGGGCAUUGCAGGAAGUGGUGCGGCAGUGAAUAAGGACUCAGAAACUGAUGGUGGUGAUUCUGAGUUUACAAACAGCUGAUGGCCAGACGGACAUUGCAGGAAUGCUUUAGAUGAACGAUAGGAUGGUUUGAGAUUGGAUUGCAGGUUAUUGUGUUGGUGUUGCAGGUGAACAUGAGAAGUUGCAAGGAAGUUAUGUUGGUUGGCCUGAAUUAUGUUGGUGCCAUGAAAUGAAAUGGUUUAUUGAUUUGUAUGGCUUACAAGGAAGAACUGCAGGAGAUGAAAUUGGAGGAAAAACUUAUGGAAAUGGAAUAUUGCAGUUUUGGUGGCUUGAAUGUGCUGAGCUUGAUGAGCAACUGCAGGUGUUGGUAUGAAGCAGUAGUAAUGAUGGCUUAUGCUGUGAAGAAGGCUGUUGCUGGCGCUGAAUGGAAAUUGGAGUGAGCUAGAAGGCCGGCAGUUGGAGGAAGUGAAGAUGUGUUGUCAGUUCCAGAGAACUGACAAGCCAAAUACUAAUUGGGCUGGAAUUCUACAGCAGCUGUGUGGCCCAUUGGAAUGUUUAGAGAAUUUCUUUUCACAUCCAGAUUAUGGACGGGAUUUUUUUUACUACUUGGGGUCUUGGGCGCAUAUAAAAGAGGAGUUUUCUCAUCUAUCUAGGGGGGAUUUUAUCCUCUAUAUCUACUUUGUUCUAUAGUUUAGAAACAUGAUAGGUUUUCUCUUCCUUCUUGUUAUGAACUCCAUUGAUAUGAGUAGUUAAUCUUAUUAUUGGUUAUGGAUUAAUUUGAUUUC